GAUUUAUUUCGAUGAAGAAUAUACUGAUUUGAACAAACCAAUAGCCGUACAAUCGUCUAAGGUUGUGUCUAAGGAUGAUGACGAUAAUAGUCUUAGAUCAUUUGUUAUGGUGCAAUGUUUAGUUCACACAAGUUUGAUCUUUAACGUGAAUUCAGUAAAGAGGAUUAGAUGUUUGAAACUCAAAGAAAGAUGAAAAAAAGGCUCUCUGAAUGGAUAUGGAGCCAAGUUAUUGAUCUAGGCACUUCUGAUGACAAUGUGUAAUGUUUAUGACGUAUAUCUACCACAAUGAUGCUACAAUAAUUGUUAUAGGAUAAGAAACCAGUACCGCAAUAUAAAAUGUCGCCCCCGCUGCAU